rnacentral:misc_RNA from 1 species
AAGUCGUAACAAGGUUCCUUCCCCCUAUAGAAGCCUUUCGCAGCGACUUUAAAUAACUGCGCAGCCUACCUUGAUUGAGUAUGGCAACGCCACGAAAUUGCUAAGACCCGUGUUCGGGUAUCAGCAGCCUGGAAUUCUAGGUCCACAGAUCAAGUAGUGGUGGUCAUUUGAUGAUUAAGAUAUGACCGGUCUUCACUAGAAUUAGUUAAGAAACAACGUUCCGUAGGUGAACCUGCGGAAGGAUCAUUAUCGGGAGUGCCCUCGUGGCUUAACCUGCAACCCAAUGUUUUAAAAAAGCCCUUGUUUCUUUGGCGGGUUCGCCCGUCAGAAGAAUUCUCAGACUCAUGAUAAAUGUGUCUUCUGAAUAACCAUUUAAUAAAUUAAAG